GAUGAAGAACGCAGCGAAAUGCGAUAAGUAAUGUGAAUUGCAGAAUUCAGUGAAUCAUCAAAUCUUUGAACGCACCUUGCGCCCUUUGGCCAUUCCGAAGGGCAUGCCUGUUUGAGUAUCAUGAACACCUCAACUCUUUAUGGUUUUCCAUGAUGAGCUUGGACUCUGGGGGUUUUGCUGGCUCACAGUCGGCUCCUCUAAAAUGAAUCAGCUUACCAGUGUUUGGUGGGUAUCAUGGGUGUGAUAACUAUCUACGCUUGUGGUUUUUCCACCAGGUAACCUUCAGCAGUGGAGGUUCGCUGGAGCUCAUAGAUGUCUCUCCUCAGUGAGGACAGCCCUUUGAAUGUUUGAUCUCAAAUCAGGUAGGACUACCCGCUGAACUUAAGCAUAUCAAUAAGCGGAGGA
rnacentral:misc_RNA from 1 species